rnacentral:rRNA from 1 species
CCUACGGGAGGCAGCAGUAGGGAAUAUUGCUCAAUGGGGGAAACCCUGAAGCAGCAACGCCGCGUGGAGGAUGAAGGUUUUAGGAUUGUAAACUCCUUUUUUUAGAGAAGUUUAUGACGAUAUCUAACGAAUAAUCAACGGCUAAAUCCGUGCCAGCAGCCGUGGGAAUACGGAGGGUGCCAGCGUUACUCGGAAUGUUUGGGCGUAAAGAGUGCGUGUGCGGGUUAAUGAGUCAGAUGUGAAAGCCUGUAGUUUAAAUACAGAACUGCAUUUGAAACUGUUACUCUGGAGUGUGUUAGAGGUAGGUGGAAUGCAUGGUGUAGGGGUGAAAUGCGUAGAGAGCAAGAGGAAUACUGAUUGCGAAGGCGGCCUACUGGAACAUUACUGACGCUGAUGCACGAAAGCGUGGGGAGCAAACAGGAUUAGAUACCCGGGUAGUC